UACGGAGGAUGCAAGCGUUAUCCGGAAUGAUUGGGCGUAAAGCGUCCGCAGGUGGCUAUGUAAGUCUGCUGUUAAAGAGUGAGGCUCAACCUCAUAAGAGCAGUGGAAACUACAUAGGCUAGAGUGCGUUCGGGGCAGAGGGAAUUCCUGGUGUAGCGGUGAAAUGCGUAGAUAUCAGGAAGAACACCGGUGGCGAAAGCGCUCUGCUAGGCCGCAACUGACACUGAGGGACGAAAGCUAGGGGAGCGAAUGGG
rnacentral:rRNA from 1 species